UACGUAGGAUGCAAGCGUUGUCCGGAUUUAUUGGGCGUAAAGAGCGUGUAGGCGGCCAGGUAGGUCCGCUGUGAAAACUCGAGGCUUAACCUCGAGAUGUCGGUGGAAACCAUCUGGCUAGAGUCCGGAAGAGGAGAGUGGAAUUCCUGGUGUAGCGGUGAAAUGCGCAGAUAUCAGGAAGAACACCCGUGGCGAAGGCGGCUCUCUGGGACGGUACUGACGCUGAGACGCGAAAGCGUGGGGAGCGAACAGG
rnacentral:rRNA from 1 species